AGAGUUGAUUCUGGCUCAGGACGAACGCUGGCGGCACGCUUAACACAUGCAAGUCGAACGGGGUUAUUCGGAGCUUGCUUUGAAUGACCUAGUGGCGGACGGGUGAGUAACACGUGAGCAAUCUGCCCUUAAGAGGGGGAUACCAGUUAGAAAUGACUGUUAAUACCGCAUAAGAUAGUAGUACCGCAUGGUACAGCUAUAAAAGAUUUAUCGCUUAAGGAUGAGCUCGCGUCUGAUUAGCUAGUUGGUGAGGUAACGGCUCACCAAGGCAACGAUCAGUAGCCGGACUGAGAGGUUGGACGGCCACAUUGGGACUGAGACACGGCCCAGACUCCUACGGGAGGCAGCAGGUGGGGAAUAUUGCACAAUGGAGGGAACUCUGAUGCAGCGAUGCCGCGUGGAGGGAAGUAAGGUUUAGGAUUAGUAAACCUCUGUUGACAGGGACGAUAGUGACGGUACCUGUUGAGGAAGCUCCGGCUAACUACGUGCCAGCCGCCGC
rnacentral:rRNA from 1 species